UUUAGAUUUAGGAUUUUAGGUUUCCUUUGAUAUUGAUGAUGAUCUAAAUUAUGUUCUUCUGUUCAGUCGGAGUUUGAUGUUGUUAUAUGUGAUUUUCUUUUGCUUAAUUCUUUGAACGGAGUCUUAUUACUUGUUAACUUCAGAGUUUUUGUGGGGUUACCGUAGUUCCCGAUUUUGUUGCUUAGUGAAACAUCAAUUAUCGAGAAUUUGGAUUCUUUAUGAAAUGAUACAUCAAUACUUGAUGAAAAAUUCGGAUUUUAUAGCAUGUCUGUAUAACUUGCUGUUAAUAAGCAUUAAUGUUGAGGUAUAUCUUUCUACUCUAAUUUAAUGGGUUUUUAUUAUUUUUUGUCAUUUGUUGAUAGUUUUUUAGAUUUUAAUGUUUUGUAGAAUCUCCAAAGCAAACACAAGCAAGAAGCAGCAAAGAAUUGUAAUUGCAUGAUUGCCGAUGUUGAGAAUGCUCUGGCCAAGUUUACGUAGGCCAAAGAAGCACAAAAGAAGAUAGAAAAUCUGAAGAAAGAAGGAAAACCAAUGCCCAAGAGUCUUUCUGAGGAAUGCUUGGCCAAAAGUGGACAAAUAAGUAAGAAUGCUUGGCGUCAUCUUCAUGUUCCAGAUUACUUGUGUUGAGUGACCAGUUCCUGAUGAUGAUGAUGGCCCAUAACAUUGGGGUCAAACAGUUUUGCUUCAUUUAUUUUUUCCUGACUUCUCCAUAGAAAAGGAUGGGCAAUAUCUUCGACCAUCAGAUCCUGCCUAUGAGCAAGUACUGGAUUCCUUAGCUAUGGUUGCUAGACAUACCCCGCUACCACUUUUAGAAGCUCUUCUAAAAUGGAGAGAAAGAUAAAGGGCAGCUUACUUCUGAUUUAUGGAGAGGAAAAAAAAAUAAUACUGGUCAAGAAAUCCCUUUAUAACUGAAGGGUUAUAUUGCUGGCUCAACUUCGAAUUUUGGAGUAGGUUGAUAACGGAUCUCAACUGCUUGAGAAGUUUGAUUCUUGAUCUUAGAUUUUGGAUGUUGUAACCCCAUUGCCUUGGCUUUUUGAGUCUGUUGGCUCGCAAUUGAUUUGUUUCAAGGAUGUUAAUAUUAGCUUGAAAUAGUUUUACUUGGACUAGAAUAGUCGAUUCGGCAGGCCUCGAAAUUUUGCACAUGAAUUCAAUCAUUCUUUUCUUCAAUAGCGUUGUUGUAAC